CGGAAUUCAUUUUCCACCUGGAACGGAAUAUCGUAUCAUGAACUCCGGGCGAAAAUUGUUUCACUUCUAACAAUUCGAACAUCAACAGCUGUUCUUACAAAAGCUGAUAUUUGCCAACAGUACGCAUAAUUAUACUAUAAAUAAGUUUUGAGAGUUUUUAUUAAUAUUGGAGUUAUAUUAAACAAAAAUGUUUCGCAUAGCUUAACGCUCACUAAUUGAAGAAAAUAGAGAAGUGGAAAAUGGUCAAAUCGAAAGAAUAAUUCGCCGGAACUUAAGAGAUCGCUCUAAUCCUCUGGAUUUACCAAAUGAAUUGUUUGUGCAGCACUAUAGGGUAAAUAAAUCCGUAUUUAUUUAUCUGUUAGAUGAGCUAAAGUUGGCAUUGCCAAAAGGCAGAAAAGCAUUUGCUAUCCCUAUGCAUAUAAAACUUGCGGCGUGCUUGAGGUUUUUUGCUGAAGGAGGGUACCAAAAAGGAAUUGCUCGGGAUAGAGGAUUUUCAUUGGGACAGUCUUCUUUCAGCAAGGUGUUGGCAGAGGUAUUGGACGCACUUCAACGUAAAUUGUGUCUAAAAUGGAUAAAAUGGCCUACACAUGAGGAGAGAAGAGAAAUUUCUCAACAUUUUUAUACGAAGUACAGGAUACCCGGGGUCAUUGGAUGUGUUGACGGGACAAAUGUUGGCAUUAUUGCUCCAGAACAAAAUAAGCAUUUAUAUUAUAACCGAAAAGGAUUUUACAGUUUAAACGUCAUGAUCGUAUGUGACGAUGAACAAAGAAUUCGGUGCAUAGAUGCCAAGCAUCCCGGAUCAUGUCACGACUCGAGAAUUUGGGCAACAAGCCAAUGCAGAGAAGUGUUGCAAAGAGAAAUUCCUGGCAGUCAUUCGAAUAUGUGGCUUUUAGGGGAUGCUGGGUAUCCACUAGAGCCUUGCCUGAUGACACCCUUCAGGAGCCCUCAACUGGGCUCUACUCAGCAAAAUUUUAACGAUGUGCACGCAAAAUGCCGAAAUAUAGUGGAGAGGACUAUCGGCGUACUUAAAAAUCGUUGGAGGUGUUUGUUAGCAGCUAGAAAAAUCUCAAAAAGUUAAAAGUUUAGAUACAACUUUGCAGAUUUUUUA